AAUUAGAAAGCGAAAAAUUGCGUUUAGUUUCGACCUAAAUUUCUGGUCAUAAAAACCUCUAAUUU
rnacentral:tRNA from 1 species